rnacentral:rRNA from 1 species
ACAACGCCGAAGAUGUUUUGGCGGAUUUGAGAGAAUUUNCACUAUCGUUAACUGAAUACAUAGGUUAACGAGGCGAACCGGGGGAACUGAAACAUCUAAGUACCCCGAGGAAAAGAAAUCAACCGAGAUUCCCCCAGUAGCGGCGAGCGAACGGGGAGCAGCCCAGAGUCUGAAUCAGCUUGUGUGUUAGUGGAACGGUCUGGAAAGUCCGACGGUACAGGGUGAUAGUCCCGUACACCAAAAUGCACAGGCUGUGAACUCGAAGAGUAGGGCGGGACACGUGGUAUCCUGUCUGAAUAUGGGGGGACCAUCCUCCAAGGCUAAAUACUCCUGACUGACCGAUAGUGAACCAGUACCGUGAGGGAAAGGCGAAAAGAACCCCGGCGAGGGGAGUGAAAAAGAACCUGAAACCGUGUACGUACAAGCAGUGGGAGCACCUUCGGGUGUGACUGCGUACCUUUUGUAUAAUGGGUCAGCGACUUAUAUUCUGUAGCAAGGUUAACCGUAUAGGGGAGCCGCAGGGAAACCGAGUCUUAACUGGGCGUUAAGUUGCAGGGUAUAGACCCGAAACCCGGUGAUCUAGCCAUGGGCAGGUUGAAGGUUGGGUAACACUAACUGGAGGACCGAACCGACUAAUGUUGAAAAAUUAGCGGAUGACUUGUGGCUGGGGGUGAAAGGCCAAUCAAACCGGGAGAUAGCUGGUUCUCCCCGAAAGCUAUUUAGGUAGCGCCUCGUGAACUCAUCUUCGGGGGUAGAGCACUGUUUCGGCUAGGGGGUCAUCCCGACUUACCAACCCGAUGCAAACUACGAAUACCGAAGAAUGUUAUCACGGGAGACACACGGCGGGUGCUAACGUCCGUCGUGAAGAGGGAAACAACCCAGACCGCCAGCUAAGGUCCCAAAGUCAUGGUUAAGUGGGAAACGAUGUGGGAAGGCACAGACAGCCAGGAUGUUGGCUUAGAAGCAGCCAUCAUUUAAAGAAAGCGUAAUAGCUCACUGGUCGAGUCGGCCUGCGCGGAAGAUGUAACGGGGCUAAACCAUGCACCGAAGCUGCGGCAGCGACACUAUGUGUUGUUGGGUAGGGGAGCGUUCUGUAAGCCUGCGAAGGUGACCUGUGAGGGUUGCUGGAGGUAUCAGAAGUGCGAAUGCUGACAUAAGUAACGAUAAAGCGGGUGAAAAGCCCGCUCGCCGGAAGACCAAGGGUUCCUGUCCAACGUUAAUCGGGGCAGGGUGAGUCGACCCCUAAGGCGAGGCCGAAAGGCGUAGUCGAUGGGAAACAGGUUAAUAUUCCUGUACUUGGUGUUACUGCGAAGGGGGGACGGAGAAGGCUAUGUUAGCCGGGCGACGGUUGUCCCGGUUUAAGCAUGUAGGCUGGUUAUCCAGGCAAAUCCGGAUAAUCAAGGCUGAGGUGUGAUGACGAGGCACUACGGUGCUGAAGUAACAAAUGCCCUGCUUCCAGGAAAAGCCUCUAAGCAUCAGGUAACAUCAAAUCGUACCCCAAACCGACACAGGUGGUCAGGUAGAGAAUACCAAGGCGCUUGAGAGAACUCGGGUGAAGGAACUAGGCAAAAUGGUGCCGUAACUUCGGGAGAAGGCACGCUGGUGUGUAGGUGAAGCCCCUGCGGGUGGAGCUGAGACCAGUCGAAGAUACCAGCUGGCUGCAACUGUUUAUUAAAAACACAGCACUGUGCAAACACGAAAGUGGACGUAUACGGUGUGACGCCUGCCCGGUGCCGGAAGGUUAAUUGAUGGGGUUAUCCGUAAGGAGAAGCUCUUGAUCGAAGCCCCGGUAAACGGCGGCCGUAACUAUAACGGUCCUAAGGUAGCGAAAUUCCUUGUCGGGUAAGUUCCGACCUGCACGAAUGGCGUAAUGAUGGCCAGGCUGUCUCCACCCGAGACUCAGUGAAAUUGAACUCGCUGUGAAGAUGCAGUGUACCCGCGGCAAGACGGAAAGACCCCGUGAACCUUUACUAUAGCUUGACACUGAACAUUGAGCCUUGAUGUGUAGGAUAGGUGGGAGGCUUUGAAGCGUGGACGCCAGUCUGCGUGGAGCCAACCUUGAAAUACCACCCUUUAAUGUUUGAUGUUCUAACGUUGGCCCCUUACCGGGGUUGCGGACAGUGUCUGGUGGGUAGUUUGACUGGGGCGGUCUCCUCCCAAAGCGUAACGGAGGAGCACGAAGGUUAGCUAAUCCUGGUCGGACAUCAGGAGGUUAGUGCAAUGGCAUAAGCUAGCUUGACUGCGAGCGUGACGGCGCGAGCAGGUGCGAAAGCAGGUCAUAGUGAUCCGGUGGUUCUGAAUGGAAGGGCCAUCGCUCAACGGAUAAAAGGUACUCCGGGGAUAACAGGCUGAUACCGCCCAAGAGUUCAUAUCGACGGCGGUGUUUGGCACCUCGAUGUCGGCUCAUCACAUCCUGGGGCUGAAGUAGGUCCCAAGGGUAUGGCUGUUCGCCAUUUAAAGUGGUACGCGAGCUGGGUUUAGAACGUCGUGAGACAGUUCGGUCCCUAUCUGCCGUGGGCGCUGGAGAAUUGAGGGGGGCUGCUCCUAGUACGAGAGGACCGGAGUGGACGCAUCACUGGUGUUCGGGUUGUCAUGCCAAUGGCACUGCCCGGUAGCUAAAUGCGGAAGAGAUAAGUGCUGAAAGCAUCUAAGCACGAAACUUGCCCCGAGAUGAGUUCUCCCUGAGACUUUAAGUCUCCUGAAGGAACGUUGAAGACGACGACGUUGAUAGGCCGGGUGUGUAAGCGCAGCGAUGCGUUGAGCUAACCGGUACUAAUGAACCGUGAGGCUUAACCUU